GCCAUCUGUUUGUUUUUGAACCAUAGUCAGCAUUGUCUUUUUACACCUUGUCUGACAACAAGAGUCUUCAUUAAAACUUGGAGCUUGAGACGCUACAUCCUGACUCUCACGUUGAUCAUUCACGGAGUUUGGCUGGCUGUCUAAUUUUGGUUACGAACACCAUUAGGAGGGCAGUACAG